rnacentral:rRNA from 1 species
UACGAAGGGGGCGAGCGUUGUUCGGAGUUACUGGGCGUAAAGGGUGCGUAGGCGGCUUCUUAAGUCUGGUGUGAAAUCUCCCGGCUCAACUGGGAGGGUGCGCCGGAUACUGAGGGGCUAGAGUGUGGGAGAGGAAAGUGGAAUUCCUGGUGUAGCGGUGAAAUGCGUAGAUAUCAGGAGGAACACCGGUGGUGUAAACGGCUUUCUGGACCAUAACUGACGCUGAGGCACGAAAGCGUGGGUAGCAAACAGG